GCGGCGGCGCUGAGGGCGUCGGUCGGUGCGGGGGGCGCUGCUGCUGUUGUGGCUUCUUCUUUGGGGGUCUUUGUAGGCUCUCCUUGUGCCAUCUUGUUCUCUUGUGGAGUCUGCUACAUAAGCCUCGUUGCUGGAGCUCUUGCUUCCUUUUUUUUUUUAGUACUUUUCCACAAAAUAAAAUAGAAGCAGGCAGAGGACGUGAGGACACGUUCCACAGGCCUUUUUGGAACAUGCUUGGUGUUGUGCAGGUUUAUAGGGAGCUGUCGCAUUCGUGUGUGGUUAUGCAGAACUAAUGGAUGCAUCUUGUGCUGUGGUGGUUGUUAAAAGCCUGCCUACCUCUGUGUUGUUUCAGUGCCUGUAGUUUGGCUUUGCGUGCUGGAUAAUCUACGAAAUAAAAGGACUGAUAAGUACAAGCUAAAAGAUGCAGUCUUAAUAACGUUUUUGAGGUGAGAUUUAGGGCAGUGUGACUGCUUGCAUAAGGCUGACCCUUGGGGAGCAAUCUGCAUAUUGCCAAGUUUCAAGUAGGCCAAGUGGUGCCUUUAAAAGUCUUAGUGAAGGGUAAAGUAAUGUACCCUCACACAUGAAUGCUAUGUUCUCUUUGUUGCUGUUGUAUUUCUUUGUGGUUGCUCUAUUGAAUAUGUUUGGAGUUUUUUUUGUUUUUUUGGGGCACCAUAACGCUGUGCUCGCAGUGGUGCGAUGAAUGAAGUGGUGAAUAGUAAAUAAGAAUUAUGUAUGGAAUGUUGCUGUGUUAAUGCUGCCAAAGAAUAAAUUCCGUACCGUGUUGAUGUUGUCUUUCAGGUGUUUGAUAUUUGGCUCGCAAUAGCGAGGUACUUUGCCAGGGAAAGGCAAAUCCAUCCUGCUGAGCUCAAGGGGAAUGGCAACCUUAAUUGUGUGAGAAGGGAACACUGGGUUAUUUAAAACCACAGUAGGGUACUUAGAAGCGUAGCUGAGCAUGAGCUCCCCAAUCUAAAACAGUAGUUUUCCUUUUUCUUUAGCUUCUCAGGAAAAUAACUGCUUUAUCACUGUUGUUUGUGGGAGUUUGAGCUGAUCUGUGGCCAGCAGAGGUCACCUUCAGAGUUCCUGGGGGAAAAAAAAAAACAAAACACAGCAGAAUCUUGAGGUGGAAGUGUGUAAAUGAUGAGAGGAACAGGGAAUCUUUGGUACAAAAGGCUGUUCUGGAAGCUAGAUAACGUGUAAAUGUGGAGCUCUAGAACAGAUAAGAAUUUCUCAUCUAAUAGACUUAAAGCAUGGUGAUAAAUGCGCAGCUCUUAGAAAGUAUGUGUAAAAACAUAUCUCAGGUUCUGCUAUGGAGCUGGUACUCAGCAUGCUUUCAGGUCUGCAGAAAGAGAUAAGCUUGACUGGGAGGAAUAGAUUGUAGAGGAAAAAAUCUAGCAGUUAUGAGGAAAUGAGAAUGUGGCAACGAGUAAAACCAAAUGGUGGCAAAUGAAAAGUAGUUGCACCAAAAGAAAGCAAAACAAACAGUAAUGCAGAACCAUAAGCUUUACUUUAAUAGUGAAAUAGGAGAAAAGGCCUUGGUGAUAGGAACCUGAGCCUUGCCGCAGCAAGAGAUGAUACAGCAUGAAGUGGUCCAGCCCAGGCAAGGAAGACCCCACCUCUUUCACUGCCAGAUGUCACAGGAUGUAUUUUGCAUGGAGCAUUUGCCUCUCUGCUAACCCAGGCUGAGGGCUGCCACCUAAUUAAAUAAUCUUCUGUCCUGACCCUUCAAAGGCUGUAAGCAGCUUUUCCCAGCAAAGCAGUUUGCAGUGCCAUCAUGUGUGUGAAAUGAAAUAAGUUGUUAGAGCUUUCAAGGAAAAUGUGAUGCAGCACAAUCAGAUAUAUCCAUGCAAAUGAACGUUCAAGGCCCUCUUAGCUGAGGACACAGGACUAUGCUGAGCAGUGAGGCAAAUACCCUAAAUAAAGCUGUUCUGGAUCAUAAAAGGAUUGAAUGCCCUCCAUGAAGCUUCAUGCAUGUUAUAAAGACAUCCAAGCAUCAUGUGAGCAUUUCAUGUUCUACACGUGAACUUCCAGAUCCGUGUAUUAACUUUAUUGCUCUGGAGUGGGAAGCAAUGUAGUUGCCUAAGUUCAAGUUUCAUACUCAAACAGCGUCGUAAGUCCAGUGAGCUGUGAUUUGUGUAGAAACUGAAGCAGAGAAGCUCUGCUUUGUCAAACGCACACUGAACUUCCAGGAGGAUCUCUGAACAUUUGAUUUUUCUGAAACAUCAGUAACGUGUAAUUAUGGUGGGGAAAAAAACUUGGACAGCUUCACAUAGCUGUCUGUUUUCU